UAUUAUUAGUAAUAGAACUAAAGUAAUAUAAAGUUUAGUUUGUUACUACAUAAAUAUUCUAAGUUUUUUUUGACUGAAUAGAUAUUCUAAGUUUCUAACUCAUUUGACUAAUAUUAUUCUCUCCCUUUUCGUUCUUAUUAAAAAGAGGAGAAGUCUUAUCUUUAUGUUUUAGUUUUCAAGUGAAAUGCAUUAAUUAAAAGUAAAAUAUCAAUCUUUUGUAUGCAAGUAAAAAAAGUUGCAACAUCAAUUUUUUUUUUUUUUUUUGGUAAAAAUGUAAAGGGUUUAAGAGUUAUGGUUCAUGAGAAACCUUUUUAUGUAUUUUUUUGUUCGUCGGCUCCCAUCUUCUAAGAUCAAGUGGUAGUCGAGUCUAAGUCGUUCCGAAGAGAUGCUAUGUCCGACUGGGUCUGAUCUAUAUGGAAAAAAAAGAGUACCGCUAAUUCUAGCCUCCUUAGCGAGA
rnacentral:lncRNA from 1 species